rnacentral:rRNA from 1 species
GAUGAACGCUGACAGAAUGCUUAACACAUGCAAGUCGACUCGAGUCUUCGGACUUGGGUGGCGCACGGGUGAGUAACGCGUAAAGAACUUGCCUCUUAGACCGGGACAACAUCUGGAAACGGAUGCUAAUACCGGAUAUUAUGGUUUUUUCGCAUGGAGGAAUCAUGAAAGCUAGAUGCGCUAAGAGAGAGCUUUGCGUCCCAUUAGCUGGUUGGUGAGGUAACGGCCCACCAAGGCAAUGAUGGGUAGCCGGCCUGAGAGGGUGAACGGCCACAAGGGGACUGAGACACGGCCCUUACUCCUACGGGAGGCAGCAGUGGGGAAUAUUGGACAAUGGACCGCAAGUCUGAUCCAGCAAUUCUGUGUGCACGAUGACGUUUUUCGGAAUGUAAAGUGCUUUCAGUCGGGAAGAAGUCAGUGACGGUACCGACAGAAGAAGCGACGGCUAAAUACGUGCCAGCAGCCGCGGUAAUACGUAUGUCGCAAGCGUUAUCCGGAUUUAUUGGGCGUAAAGCGCGUCUAGGCGGCAAGGAAAGUCUGAUGUGAAAAUGCGGAGCUCAACUCCGUAUGGCGUUGGAAACUGCCUUACUAGAGUACUGGAGAGGUAGGCGGAACUACAAGUGUAGAGGUGAAAUUCUGAGAUAUUUGUAGGAAUGCCGAUGGGGAAGCCAGCCUACUGGACAGAUACUGACGCUUAAGCGCGAAAGCGUGGGUAGCAAACCAGGAGUAGAUACUCCUAGUAGUCCAAUGGGCGAAAUUCCACAGUGGGAGAUCAAGCUUAUCGAUUGCCUUGGACGUCGAGGGGGGGGACAAAGAAACCCAGCUUUUGUUCCUUUUAUUUGUUGUUAAUUAUCCCUCAUGCCUUCUGUCUGUCCCUGUCCCUCUCUGAUACCUCCCCCCUGUUCUUCUUCUCUGUUGUUCUAUUCGUAGUGUGCUUUAUCUGUGUGUCCCUGUGCUGCAUUCUAUCUGCCUUGUGUAGUGUGUGAUUUCCUGUGGCUCCUAUCUCUGCGAGGAGUGUGCGCCUGUACCGUGCUGCCUCUUGGCCUGCCCUUGCCCUUCUAUCCUUUCUUGCUGUGCAUGUACCCUGUGUUGUUUGCCUGUUUUGCUGCCUUGCCUCUGCUGCUGCUGCCAUUCUUGCCUGCUGGUCCAGUUGCCCUGUUACUCCUGCCAG